AUAUUGUGAUGUGUUGUCUCUCAUAGUGGUCACGAUAAAUUAGUGCAGAGUAAAAGAAAUGACUUGAAACAAUAUAAUUCAACAGUCUCACUGGGUCUAAACUUUAGUGCACUAAAAUUAUUGUACAUGUAGAACCACAUGCCUUCUCCAGGUCAGGUCUAGCACUUGGUAGGUUUGCCAGUGUUAGAGAUACGAUUAUCAAAUAUCAGGUUUUAUUUUCUUUAUAAACUAUUGCUAUUAUAAAUACCUUUAUUAAAUCAUUAGAUGGAGUUUAUCCAGGAUAGCCUUGUCCUGUAGAACAGGGACAAAUCUACUAACUUGACUGAUAUCAAAAGGAGAAAGAAUUCGGUACCAAGGAGAGGCACUUCGGUGAAAAUGAAAUAGGGCAGCAGGUGGUUGCGGGGAAAAUGUUGGCAGUGUCAGAACCUGGACUUGUACACACCAUGGAUAUGGGAGACAUCCCAUUAGCUGAGCGUGUGAUUCAGAUACGUUCACGCCCAAUGACCGAUGAUACUAAGUUUGACUACCCAAGGAUUGACAGCCUAAAAAUGCUCCUAACAGAGUUGAAAUGCCCAUCAGAGUUCCAGCAAGGAUGUAAUGUCCCAUACAUUGACCCCUUUUGAUUGAAGACCAGCCAACUUAAAGCUCACAGAUUGGUGUGAUUCAAAUGGCCCCAGUUCUACAAAAGGAUAGCCCACUGUUUGCUGACAGCCCACAAACUGACUGCUAUCAGAACAAUGGUCCACAAAUAAUUGCUCAACAAAUUGAGAGCCAAGGGAUCCCAAACCCAUGGACAACAGGUCACUGGUUUUUAGUUCUCGGACCUGGUGAGGACAUCCCAAAGGCAGAAUGAAACAGAACCCAUGAAGAUGGAUACAGACUUUG